CACGUAGGGGGCAAGCGUUGUCCGGAUUUAUUGGGCGUAAAGAGCUCGUAGGCGGUUCGGUAAGUCGGGUGUGAAACCUCCAGGCUCAACCUGGAGAUGCCACCUGAUACUGCUGUGACUUGAGUCCGGUAGGGGAGCGUGGAAUUCCUGGUGUAGCGGUGAAAUGCGCAGAUAUCAGGAAGAACACCAAUGGCGAAAGCAGCUCUCUGGGACGGUACUGACGCUGAGACGCGAAAGCGUGGGGAGCGAACAGG
rnacentral:rRNA from 1 species